CAGCAGCCACGGUAAUACGGAGGGUGCAAGCGUUAAUCGGAAUUACUGGGCGUAAAGGGCGUGUAGGCGGUUUCGUAUGUCUGGCGUGAAAGCCCCGGGCUCACCUCGGGAAGUGCGUCGGAAACUGCGAGACUAGAGUCCCGGAGAGGGAGGUGGAAUUCCAGGUGUAGCGGUGAAAUGCGUAGAUAUCUGGAAGAACACCGGUGGCGAAAGCGACCUCCUGGACGGUGACUGACGCUGAGGCACGAAAGCGUGGGGAGCAAACAGGAUUAGAUACCCCCGUAGUCCCUGUCUCUUAUAC
rnacentral:rRNA from 1 species